AAAGUAGAAGACGAUGAGAUGAUAUCCUUCAUUCUUUCUGGCUUGGACAGUGAGUAUAAUCCUAUUGUUACUUCUGUCAUGGGUCGUACUGAUCAGAUUCCUUUGAGCGAAUUAUAUGCUCAGGUGAUGGCAUAUGAAA
rfam:Setaria italica strain Yugu1 chromosome IV, whole genome shotgun sequence.